rnacentral:rRNA from 1 species
GAUGAACGCUGGCGGCGUGCCUAAUACAUGCAAGUCGAACGGAAGUAGUAAUACUUUAGUGGCGACCGGGUGCGUAACACGUAGCUGACCUGCCCCUCAGCGGGGGACAACGCCGGGAAACGUGGCGCUAAUACCGCAUAGCUUCGGGAUAAUUAGAAAGUCCUGAAUAAACUUACGGGGCGUGAGGGAGGGGCUGCGGCCCAUCAGGUAGUUGGUGAGGUAGAA